CACAGCUCUGCAUUCAGCACGGCUGGACCCCAGGAAACGGUCGCUUCGACGUGCUGCCCCUGCUGCUGCAGGCCCCAGAUGAGCCCCCAGAACUCUUCCUUCUGCCCCCCGAGCUGGUCCUUGAGGUGCCCCUGGAGCACCCCACGCUGGAGUGGUUUGCAGCCCUGGGCCUGCGCUGGUACGCCCUCCCAGCAGUGUCCAACAUGCUGCUGGAAAUUGGGGGCCUGGAGUUCCCCGCAGCCCCCUUCAGUGGCUGGUACAUGAGCACUGAGAUCGGCACGAGGAACCUGUGUGACCCUCACCGCUACAACAUCCUGGAGGUGAGGUGCGGGAUGGGGCUCGGGCACCGAACGCACCUGUCCAAGGCAGGAGUCUGGCUCUCACUCCAUCCCCAAAAUGCCAGCCACAGGGCCAAUCAGAGCAGGUCCAGGGUUGCCUCCUAAAUGGGAACUGAGGACAAGCUCUAGAACC
rnacentral:lncRNA from 1 species